UACGUAGGGUGCAAGCGUUAAUCGGAAUUACUGGGCGUAAAGCGUGCGCAGGCGGUUGUGCAAGACGGAUGUGAAAUCCCCGGGCUCAACCUGGGAACUGCAUUUGUGACUGCACGGCUGGAGUGCGGCAGAGGGGGAUGGAAUUCCGCGUGUAGCAGUGAAAUUCGUAGAUAUUGGGAGGAACACCAGUGGCGUAAGCGGCUAACUAGACGAGUACUGACGCUCAGGCACGAAAGCGUGGGGAUCAAACAGG
rnacentral:rRNA from 1 species